rnacentral:rRNA from 1 species
CUACGGGUGGCAGCAGUGGGGAAUAUUGGACAAUGGGCGAAAGCCUGAUCCAGCCAUGCCGCGUGUGUGAAGAAGGCCUUCGGGUUGUAAAGCACUUUCAGUGGGGAAGAAAGCCUUGGGGCUAAUACCCUCGAGGAAGGACAUCACCCACAGAAGAAGCACCGGCUAACUCCGUGCCAGCGGCCGCGGUAAUACGGAGGGUGCGAGCGUUAAUCGGAAUUACUGGGCGUAAAGCGCGCGUAGGCGGUCUGAUAAGCCGGUUGUGAAAGCCCCGGGCUCAACCUGGGAACGGCAUCCGGAACUGUCAGGCUAGAGUGCAGGAGAGGAAGGUAGAAUUCCCGGUGUAGCGGUGAAAUGCGUAGAGAUCGGGAGGAAUACCAGUGGCGAAGGCGGCCUUCUGGACUGACACUGACGCUGAGGUGCGAAAGCGUGGGUAGCAAACAGGAUUAGAUACCCCUGUAGUC